GAAGAUGAAGAGCUUGAGGAAUGUCCCCUAUAGAAUGAAAAAUACCACGUUUUGGAUAUUCUACUAGAAGUUGAAGAAAAACCAUCCAUGAAGAUAAUAAUGGAGAGUGAAGAAACUAAAGUCAUGGCAUUAAUAGAAGGUGAAGGUUUAUCUAUCUCAUUGCCCUCUAUUAUUUCCUUUGAUUUUAUUUAUUUAGGUGCUUUUGUAGAGGCAAAGGCAAUAAUAGAGGAUGAAGUGGAUCAAUUCUAUCGUGUUCAAAUCUCCAUGGACUACCUCAUCAAAGAAGGCUAUAUG
rnacentral:misc_RNA from 1 species